AAGACCUCGCGCUAUUGGAGCGGCCGAUGUCCGAUUAGCUAGUUGGUGGGGUAAUGGCCCACCAAGGCGACGAUCGGUAGCUGGUCUGAGAGGAUGAUCAGCCACACUGGGACUGAGACACGGCCCAGACUCCUACGGGAGGCAGCAGUGGGGAAUUUUGGACAAUGGGCGAAAGCCUGAUCCAGCCAUGCCGCGUGAGUGAAGAAGGCCUUCGGGUUGUAAAGCUCUUUCGGUCGGAACGAAAUCGCGCGAGCUAACACCUCGCGUGGAUGACGGUACCGGAAGAAGAAGCACCGGCUAACUACGUGCCAGCAGCCGCGGUAAUACGUAGGGUGCAGGCGUUAAUCGGAAUUACUGGGCGUAAAGCGUGCGCAGGCGGCUUCCUAAGUCAGAUGUGAAAUCCCCGGGCUCAACCUGGGAACU
rnacentral:rRNA from 1 species